CCGGGCGGGGGCCGCGCUCUGCGUUCCUCGGGCCGGCGGGCGCGGGGCGGGCGCCCCCCGAGCAGGCAAAGGCCCCGGAUUCCCAGACAGUGACGUCGGAACGGCCCCCCUGCGGGGACGUUCGCGGUCGCCGCGGGCCCAGGGCGGCGCGGAGAGAAGAUUCGAGAACCCCGUGGCUGCUAAGCGCGUCACGGCGCGGGGGCUCCGCCGCACAAAGCCGGCCGCCGCCCGCGGUUCGUAAACGAGCGAGCGGCGUCGCGGGGCCUCGUUCAAGUUCACGGAAAACCGGUUCCCGCGUCGCCGCCUCCGGCAACUCCCGCACCUGCCGUGAGCGGGUUUCCUCCUCCCGGCGGACUCGCCCGGAAUUGUUUUGCGGGGAAAUAAGAUAUUCCAAGAAUAUGCCAA